rnacentral:misc_RNA from 1 species
CAGAAUUAGGGUUUCUUCCCUUUUCUCCCUAAAAAUUUCAGUCUGCUCGACAAAUUCAACUUGCUGUUCCUCCGAUUAGGUCAUGGAGGAUAAUGAAGGUGGGGAUGGAGUUGGUGGAGAGCCAAUCGAGCAGUUUCACAGGAAUGAAGCGAUCUCUGCUGUUGCCGAUGAUGGGUUUAUGGUUGAAGAGGAUGAUGAUUACGAAGAUCUCUACAAUGAUGUUAACGUUGGUGAGAAUUUUCUUCAAUCUUUUAGAAAGAAUGAGGAUUUAGUAUCUAGGAAUGAGGAGGUAGAGAGGAAGCCUGAGCAGCCUGUCCUUCCGGCGCCACCACCGGUGGUGGCAGCACUGCAAGUGGUGGAUGAGAGUGGGCGUGACGAUUUUCAGGGUGUGGGUGGGGAGAGGAAUCCUGUAAAAGAGGAGGAUGUAGUGUCUGGGAUUGCUGCUAGAGCGUCCGUAGGUCCAGCUGUGUCUGGGACUUCUGCUGGUAGUGGGUUUAGGGUUGAGUUAAGUCAUCCAUCAAGUAAGAUGGGUGAUUUAGCAGAGCGGAUGGUGAAUAGUAACGUUCCAAAUCAGGUGAUGGCUCAACAGCCUCAUGGUGGUGGUGUUGCAGUAGCUGCUGGAAAUCUGGGUAAUGUUGGAAAUAUGGGGAAUGAUAAUUUGAUAAGGCAAGGAGGGGUUAAUAUGAACGGGGCGGGUAAUAUUGUUG